UACGUAGGUGGCAAGCGUUGUCCGGAAUUACUGGGUGUAAAGGGAGCGCAGGCGGGAAGCCAAGUCAGCUGUGAAAACUACGGGCUUAACUUGUAGACUGCAGUUGAAACUGGUUUUCUUGAGUGAAGUAGAGGUUGGCGGAAUUCCGAGUGUAGCGGUGAAAUGCGUAGAUAUUAGGAAGAACACCAGUGGCGAAGGCGGCCUACUGGACGGUGACUGACGCUGAGGCUCGAAAGCGUGGGGAGCAAACAGG
rnacentral:rRNA from 1 species